UUAAGACUGAGGGCAGCAGCAAAGUGGAGAUUGUGGAGUACAACACCGCAGCUUUAAGUACGGGGACUAAUUCUAUCAACGGGAAGACUGAGGGCAGCAGCAGAGUCGAGACUUAGGAGUACAACACUGCAGCUUCAAGUACGGGGACUAAUUGUAUCAACGGUAAGACUGAGGACAGCAGCAAAGUGGAGAUUGUGGAGUACAACACCACAGCUUUAAGGUAAGAUAAGGG